rnacentral:misc_RNA from 1 species
GUAGGUGAACCUGCGGAAGGAUCAUUACCAAAUCCAAAAAAAAAACUUUAUCAACACCACAAUGUGAACUGAGAAUGGUUUCGUUCCCUCUCCAACUCGCAAGAGACGGCGAGGGAAUGUCUAUUUUUUUUCAACCCCUUUACAACUAUACAACCAUUAUUUAUGCUGAAAGCAAAAAAAAAACGAAACAUGAGACAACUUUUAACGGUGGAUCUCUUGGCUCGU